ACGCUUUCUUGGUGUUCUUGUUGGAGAUGGGCGGCUGGGUGGUAUAUCUGGAACUGUUUCAGCUUAUGAGAGUUUGAAACUAUGAGGUUAUGAUGUUGUUGUUAUUGUUAUUGAAGAUCAUGGCCUUGCAAAUGAAAUACUAUUAAUGUCAUAUUUGCGUACGAGAGUGCCUAUGUUUGUGCUGCCACCCAUUCCACAAGACCCAUCAAAUGACCUAAUGGAAUGGUUUGAUGAAUCUUGCAAUGUAUUUAAUUAUUU